GUAAAAAUGUAUUAUUUUAACGUUAUUACAAGCAUCGGUACAUUCGCCCUGUGCCGAUGUGUUUCUGUAAUUUGCCCGAUGCAGGAUGUACGCAUAAAGACAGAAAUUCUGUUGCUCGGGCUCCUCUCAAUAAGGGAGAUGAGUAAGGUAUGUUGGGAGAGGAGAUGGAGGAGAAGAGAGGCGGAAACCUACUGAUUAUUUGGCAAGAUAGACUGCAGGGAGAAUUCGAGGCAUAUGGUUUAAGGAAAUUAUUCGGAGAAUGAACGAGUUGCCGUAUUGCACC